UUUGGUAAUUUUAUGUCGACUAAUGCUCCUCUUCACCGGUGUCAUCCGCCAACUUUGCCAUUGACCUGAGUAAGAAUGAAUAUGAAUUGAGAUAGUUUAAAAUGCAUUGACUCAAUGAUUGUUACAGAUUAUGUUUUAUUAUGGAAAAUUCAUGAAGCAUGAUGGUGUUGGGAUUUAUGUCAUAAAACUCGUAGAUUGUAAAUAUAAUAUAUCCGUUAUUAAUAAAAUGUUAUUAUUGUAAUAGUUGUUAUUGAUUAUAUUAUUAGUUUUGUCUUAAAAACUCAAAUACAAUAAACUAACAUUCUAAGCUGUUUAAUGAGUCUUGAAUAGUAUGUAGAGACAUACAUGAAUCAAUAUUCGAGAUCAACUUAAAGGGUCUAUAGUACAGGGAUAAGGUUGGGUACCUUAUCCUAGUAACAUUAUGGAUAGUAGAAUUGAUGAAACUUGCUAAAAUGCGUUGAAAUUACUUCACAUAGCUAUAAUUUGGCUCAAGAGUGUGGUAAAUGUUUGAGCUGAGGAAAAUGUACAAAUAUGUAAUUAAAUAAGUAGAAGGAUUGUGUGAGAUGAUCAUGUGUAUACGAGAUGCAUACAUGCAAUAUGAAUUGCACUAAAAGAAUUGAAAUGCAAUGUAUUCCAUGAGAGUUAUGAUAAAUGAUUUAGAAAGGAAAGCCUUCGUAUGAUUUAUGAUACUGAAUGAUGAAUUGAAAUAAUUUGGAUUUAAAAUCAAUCUCUUGAUGACAGUAAAUGCUAUUUACACUGCUUGAUUUGGGUAAUUUUGACGAGUAAAAGGUGACGGAAACACUAGACAUUUUCAUCUAACAUUUCAGUAUUUUGUUUUAUAAUAAUUUUAGUGUUAUGAUAGUAUGUGUUUGAAGGAAGAGUUAUUAUUGGUAUUGUUAUGAUAAUAUGUAUUUGGGGGAAAUGUUAUGAUUGUAGUAUUAUUAUAACAUGUGUUUGAGGGAAGAGUUGUGAGCGUAGUAUUAUGAUAAUAUAGGUUUGAGGAAAGGAUUAUCUUAAUGGAUUUGUGAUAUUUUUUUGCUAAAAUAAACAAUAUUAAUAUAUGUAUUUAUAGUAAAUCAUAUAAUUUUUUUAAAUAAACAAUAUUAAUAUAUGUAAUUAUAAUAAACCAUAUUAUGAAAUGAACUUGUGAUAUUUUUUUGCUAAAAUAAACAAUAUUAAUAUAUGUAUUUAUAGUAAAUCAUAUAAUUUUUUUAAAUAAACAAUAUUAAUAUAUGUAAUUAUAAUAAACCAUAUUAUGAAAUGAACGCAUAUUAGUGUCAUUAGUAGUAACUAAGUAGAGAUUCAAAUUCGUGUUCGUCCAUUAGAAAUUCUAGAUUGACACCUUGUUAGAAAGGAAAAUACUUAUGAAAGCGUUAAAAACGAAAUUGGUUAACCUAAUCACAUACUUUGAAUUUUGGUUUAUGGGUCUUGAAAAUUUAUUCAAAUCAUAAUUUUCCUAUGUAAAUUUUCCGAAGCCUUCUUGCAAAAAAGAUCGUAAUAAAAAUACAAUAUUGUUAGGUGGGUCAUUUAUGGUUCCCUAUAAUUCCUUAUGAUACGAGAAGUUUGUAAAACUAAUUGUCUAUGUGAGAACUUGUGAAAGUAUUUUCUUAUACGUCAUACUAUUGAACUUGUUACACAUUUCUAUAACCUAUAUCACACUAAUGUAUGUGUAAUAUAAUUUUUUUUCUUAUAAAGUUUUUGUAUUGCACCAACCUAUUGUAUGUUUAAGUCUCUUAAACCUAUAUUGACGUUUUAUAUUUUUAUUGAUUAAAAACCCUUACUUUUUUUUUUUAAAAAAUUAUGAUUGUACAUUAAAUUCGUGACGAAAUCGAAAAAUUGUUCGGAUUUUUCAAAUAUGACAUUUACAAAAAAUUGAAGAGUUGAGUUUAGAGACAAUAUAUGGUAUGAAAACAUUGCUAUUUUGUGAAAUACAUUUUUAGAAUUUUUCGCACAAGUAAAGUUGCUUAUGAAAUUGAAAUACGAAAAUAAUAAAAUUGGCAAUUUGUAUCUAGUAGUAAUUUACCUCAUACUUAUGCGAUGUAAAAAAAAAAACAUUCGACCAUAAAAAAUGAAAAAUAUUCAUUAUAGUACUAAACGAUAAUUAGAAAAACAAAAAAAAACCUUUAAAAUCGUGGCUGAAUUGUUAGGAACAUAUUACAACAAUGAAUAAAAAGAAAAAGUAUAUGUGCACAACUUUAUGAAAUUACACUUUUAAAACCGUAGUACCUUGUGAAUGGUUGUUUAACUGGUGCAACCUAAAAAUAUUAAUGACAUAAAUUAGAAAGGAUUCUAGGAACACGAUAUAUGCCCUUAAAAAUUCAUAAGAUUAAAUAUAAGCAUAGAAAAGUAAUGUAAGGGAAAAGAAGUAGUGUCAGAGUAAAGAAAUUCGUGCAAAAGCAUUUACAAAGAAUCAGUGUUGCACUCAAAUUUUGUAGUCGAACCAAUGUCAUCAAAAUUAAAGGCAGAACAAGCAAAUACACUAUCGUGUGCAUGGAAAAUUUCUUCAUCAUACACAUGAUUUAAAAGAAUAACAAAAUGUUGAAGCAUAAGCAUAUAAACUAAAUAGGGAUAGAAGUGUAUGGAAACAAUAUUCUACCAAUUCAUAAAACGGACAAUGAACAUGAAACUAUGGACCUAAGAUGAGGUGUGUGAAAAAAUAAGAAAUCAGAACAAAGAGAGGGAGUACGAGGAAAAAUAAUAAAUCAAAACAAAAAGAGGCUAUUUAAAAGAACAUGUCAUUUUUUUGUAUUUUUCAUUGUGGGCUUGUAAGCUUUUUUCUUUUUCAAAAUUGUUUUAUACCAUGUAAAUAUUUUGUCGCUUUGUAAUAUUCUUUUAAAAACCCCUAAAAAUAACCCAUAUUUAUUCAUAUGCUUUUUAAAAGAAAUUACAACUUAACAUUUAUAAUAUAUUAUUGAUGAUUUGAAUAGAAACUUCUCAACAGAUUUCAAAAAGAAAUAAAAUUUCUCUAGAAAGAAUUUUUAAUUAUUUGAUUUGUCUUAGCUUGCAAAUGAAACAUAAAGCAAAUAAAGUUGCAUCAAUUUAUAUAUAAAUGGACUAGUUAUAUCAUUCAACUUUUCUAGGGUGGUUCAUUUCACUUGGUCAUGUAAAAAAAAUUAUAUCAUCUGGUGUCAAAAGGAUAACGAAGAACUUAAGGUCUUAAAGAACCAUAAUUUUGAGAAAUAAGCAGUUGUAUCUUUGCUAGUUAAUAUAGAUUACCUCUUGCCGUAUCUUUAGUAAUUUUGUUACAUAAAAAUAAUAUUUCUCCAAAGAUAUUGAAUGAGAAUUAAACUCAAUUAUAUUUAAUUUGAGAAUUAGCUCACGAUAAUUUAUUUUAUUCUAAUAGAUCUAGUUAAUUAUGAAGAUGCAUGUUAUUUUAUCUAAACCAUAUGAGUUAUAUCUUACCCAAGCUACUUAGUACAUAUAGAAGAUUUUUUACAUGGUUGACAACUUAUGAAGUAGAUCAAAACGACUAUUUUAAAUCAUGCUAAAAUAUUGAUGAUGUACAAGACUAACCAUUAGUGUUCUUAUAUGAAGACAAGGCAAACAAAAUUGUUUAGAAGACAACUUUAUUUGCUAACUUCAAUUAUUUUCUUGUUUUUUCUUUAAAUUUUUGUUUCAUCAUUUUUAACAUUUAGGUGUGGAGAAUAAAUUAAUUAACUAUAACUACAAUUAAUUGGCUGAAUUUUGUUGUCUCUAACGUCUUAGCUUUCUUGCCAGCUUCCAUUACAGUAAUAAACUCUAUCUUCUUUUUUGUUAACUAAUGAUUAUUAACGAAUGAAUAGGAAAUGUUUAGUGUCAUUGGAAGUGAUGAAAAAAGUGAUUGUAACCCACCAAAAAUGGAGAAGGGUUACAACCAUGAAAACAAGUCUGAUUAUCCAUGUCAUGCUCUUGCCCUAACAAAGUGACUUGGCUCCAUUCAAACUAGCAGCAUAAGAAUGGAUAGUAACAUUGUAGUUUAGUUAAUUAAUUAGUUAUAGUUAGUUCAAUCAAUCAAUUAAUUAUAAUAGACUAAAACAAAUAUAAUUAUAAUUAGUUUUUGGUCAACUAAUUGUAGUCUAGUACUCGAUGAAUUAAAUUUUCUAUUUCAGUUAAUUCAAUAUAUUAUGGUAACCACAUCCCACUUUUAGUCUACAAUUAUAAAAGUUUCUACUUUAUAUUUGAAUUAGUCAUGGGUGAACAAUAAAUUUUGGUCAAUUAAAUUUUAUUGCGUCAUCACGACAAAAUUGCGACGAUUAUAAUUUGAUUGAAUUUGGGUACUCAAGUUUUCUCAUAUCUAAUUCAAUUCAAGCUCAGGAUGAAAAAUUGAGCCAAAACAAGGAUAAUGAGUCGAAAUCCAACCAUUAAAUGGACUCAAGCCCACAAGUAAAUGGAUCCAAGUCCAAGUUCAACAAUUAGAUAAGUCCAAACUCAACAAGAAAAUGGGUCCAAGUCCAAGCCCAUGAAAUUUCUCUAUAAAUAGAGACAUUUGUCAUUCAUUCGAGGGAUCUUUUAGUUGAAAGAAGAACUGAAGUUCUGAAGUACUGAAGCUUGGGAGUUUUUAUCAACCUCAAGAUCAACAGCUUCCAUCCUGAAGACCAAAGAUCGCUUCCAUCCUGAAGACCAAAGAUCAAAAAGUUCUAAGUUUACCUCAAGAUCAACAGCUUCCAGCUUCCAUCCUGAAGACCAAGGAUCAAAAAGUUCUAAGUUUUUUUUAACUUGUAUUCGAGAGAAAGCAUCAAAUAAAUAAAUACUAGAGAUUGUAUUUACAAUAUUCAUUAAUAUACAUAGUUUAAUUCUACGAAUUAUAUUUCUUUCGAAA
rnacentral:lncRNA from 1 species